AAGUCGUAACAAGGUUUCCGUAGGUGAACCUCCUGAAGGAUCAUUAACACGUAUCCAACGUUAAACCCCCCUGUGAACCUUUAGUGUGCUCCCUCAUUCUGUUGGAACGGUGCAAAGAGUGCUGGUUGUAGCGCGAGGCAAGUGGCCUGGCAUUCCUCUGCUUGUUAGUGUCUGAAAGUGUCACUGGCUCUGUAAGAAUGGCGCAGUCACGAUCGCUAGAGGCCGACACGGCCGGCGACCGGGUCACCGGGCUCACGCCCCCCUAUCACCCCUUUGCAUGAAAACGGGCCUGCGCUUAAUUGUGCGGCCAUAAACCGAACAACUGUUAACAAUGGAUAUCUUGGUUCUC
rnacentral:misc_RNA from 1 species